GCCCCUAUCGUCUAACCUGGUUCAGGACAUCAGAUUUUCAAUCUGGUAAUUCGGGUUCAAAUCCCGAUGGGGGCA
rnacentral:tRNA from 1 species